rnacentral:lncRNA from 1 species
GCCCACCAGCUCGGUGGACAGCUCCGGCCCGACCGUGAGCGGGUCGUCGAUCAUGACGAUGGUCCCGAAGAACGUGGUCGAGUUCUUCUCCGACGGCGCCUGCGCCACCCGCACGGAGGUCGGGCUCGGCCCGCUCACGAUGUCGUGCCAGAAGAACCGGAAGUGGCUCUCCGUCUCGUAAACCGGCUUUUUGACGCGCUUCUCGCCCAGCACGAAGCUGCUUUGCUCUUCGGAAUAGGCCCAGGAGGAGGACGAGAGGAGGAGGAGGAAGAAGAUAAUGGUGGUGAGAAUGGAGAAGAGCUCGGCCAUGGCGGAAGAGAGCGAUGGAAAUGGAGAAGGGAUGGUUCUAUAACUUUUCUAUGCUGAUGUAUGAUGGGGUGUGCUAUAUAUAUAGGGAGAGAAAUUGCUUGCCGAGUCGACGAGUCAGUAGAGCCGCUUUGUUUUUGGGAGGCAUCGGUUGGUGGGGUGGGUACGGACUCUGCUUUUAUUUUUGUCAUCGGCAGUUUUUAAGUACAUCUCGAGGUCGGCGUGGACUUUGUGAACAUCCAUAAAAAAUAAUAAAAAAGAAUAAUAAUAAUAAGUAAGAGUGGGAACUGCUCAACAUGUAACUAAUAAUCUCGCCUUGAAAUCAUCUUCACUAAAUUUUUAUUUCACACUUUAGCUGAUUUAAUUGAUCUUGGCAAUGAAAUAGGAUAAUGCGUUUUAGUUAAAAAUAUGGCAGUGAAUCGUAGUUACUAAUUGUAGAGUUAGUAAUUAAUGGACGUGACUUCAUUUAGUUUGGUUUGAAGAGGUCAUCAAACUACUAUAGCAAAAUGAUUAAAUAAAGUUAUAUUUAAAGAUUUGUUAGUUAUCACGCCUACAAUUUUUUUCUAUUAUUAAAAGCUUUUAUUAAAAUUGAAAAUUUCCUCUAUAGAUAGUAAAAUAAACAAUUAAUUUGCUUGGCUCAACUAAUCGUUCUAUAUGUUUUUUCUUUUCGGUCUCUCUAAAUAUGGUGAUGAGUAUAUGAUUAUUUUUUUGGGUUUAACAGAGAAGCGGUAGUUAGUGUAUCGCGUAUAAUAAAAAGUAGACGGGGUCAAUACGGCAAUUUUCUAUAGUGGAGUAUGCUGUAUGCAGUGGGGUCAAAAGAAGUUAGAAAAAGCAAAAAACGUACAGAGUUCACAUGGCUCUGCUGUCCGGAGAAAACAAAUUAAAGCAGUUGCAAAUAUUCAUUCUCCUCGUCAGAAAUGCGUAGCCUGCACGUCGUAUUGGACCAUGGCGCCUCCGGUGUUGGAGAAAGUUACGACUGUAACAUUUAUGCGAGACCAUCAAUGAUCACGCAAUCAUAUACUUUUUUUUAAAUAUAUAAAAAAUAUAUUUUUUUAACAAUUACGAUGAAAUUGAUGAAUUCAAAGAAAAAAAAAAUCUGAUUAAUUCAGAAUGUUAUAGAGCAAUAUAACUAACGUAUUCUAAAUUUUUUUUUUUUUUUGUGUUUAGGGCUGCUGCACAGUAUGGAGCUGUCGCAUCCGUGCCGACCCGAUCCGGCCCGAACUUUAGGGCUGUACUGGGCCUCUCCCCUUCGCCCGACGACUCAAUACGACACGGUUAGCAACGGACACGAACCAUGCCGGGCGGAGGAGAGGUCUGUCGCCCAGCACAGCGUGGCUCACUUGGGCCAUGCCAAUUGGGCCAGCACGAUCCGAACCCAAGAGCCCAAGGCAACUUGCUUUGGGUCUUGGGAUCCGAGCUACUGCGUCUCCCUAGGAGGCAGCAGCUCUUCUGAUUUAUAAAUUGAGACAAACAUCUAGAUUACAAAUUGCGGAGAUAACUAUAUGUUUAUUUAAAAAGUUUACUCACUAAAAAUACAAAGAAUCUCAUUGCUAUCGAUAUUUUCGCCCACAUAUAUAUUGUGGACUCAUGUUGAUGCACCGUCUUGUACUUUGCCACAACGCUUGUCUAUAAUCUAGUUAUCCAAUACUUUUUUAAAAAAAUAUCAACUUUUUUUUUUCACUUUUUUAAAGAAUUGAGAUUAAAAUGUAAAAGCAAACGAGAUGCGAGCACGCCUUGCAAGAGUACGUGAUGCAUCGUCCAAUAAUUUCUCCCAAUUACAAAGUCAAAUAAUUAAUCUUCCCACCACGCGAUUCACGUGGCAAAUCGAAUGCAAGCAAUAAGUUUAUUGAGGCUAUAAUUCGCGCGUGAAAUGUAGAUGCCCUUUAUGGGAAAAAAAAAAUAAAAUAAGUAAACCAUCACAAGGCUCUUAUAGCUCCUAUUUUCGAGAAAAAUAAUGUUUUUUUAGACAAUUUCCCAUAAGUUCUUUUAUCUUAAAAAUUUUUUCAAGCGCAAUGCUACAUCCAUAACUACCCUUUGAUUGUAAUUUUAUAAUUUAUCAUUUUUUUAAUACUAAAAUUAGAAGAGAUUGUAUAAAUUCUAGAAAGAGAAUUAUAAGUUUUGAAUUGAUGAUUGUAAUCUUACAAUCCUUCUUAAACUGUGGACUUAGAAUUUUUCUUUUCUAAUGUAUAUAUCAUCCGAAAAACUUUGAAAGAAAAUACUGUAGGAAACUGCAUGGAUUGUCAGUCAUUCGAUCGCUACCAAUACAAAUACGCAAAAAUAGAAAAAAUCAAACGAUAAAAUAAAUAAAAUACAGCAAAAAAGAGCAAAAUUUAUGUGGUUCGGCAAUUGACUAUAUCUACGAAAAAAGCGAGAGAGAUAUAUUCCACUAUAUAAAGAAACAAAAAUUCAAACUUAUUCCUUCUAUCUUCUUCAGAUAAAAAAAUUAAGAACCUUAUGAUGGAUCCUAUCUUUCUCUUGUUUCAAUGAAAAUUUUAAAAAUUACUGAAAAAAGUUUUUCGUAAAACUGAGAAAAUUAAAUUCGAAAAUAUCAAAAACUCUGAUCAAAUUCUUUAUAUCGUUGCUUCGAUGAAUCACCACCUCUCAGCCAAUUGGUCGAGCAUGCAACUGUGCUCCGCUGCCAGUUCCGAUCCAAACGUCGCAUGCGCCUCUCUCUUGCCGUCGUAGGCCAUCCGAUCGACGUCCUGAACGCUAAUUAAUUUUCUCACAUACGAACGCACACAGUACAUUCACAACGGCAUGCAUAUACAUAUAUAGAUGCAUUAGCUGGUCAACAAGUCAACUACUAUUCACCGAAUAUUAAUUAGACUCAACCUCGUAUGGAUAAACAUGUAUCUUGCACCAAUAAAAAUCAACUUCAAGAUCUAUUGAUACAUACCAUAGAUCUAGUCUAUACCAUCUUUCAUGAAUCAACUUAAUGGAUUAAUUAAUUUGACUCAAUCUUAGUUAAAAAAAAAAAAACAUAUUCUUAGCAAAUACAUGUAGAAAAAAAAGAAAAAAAAAAUCCAAAGCAAAAGAGUGAGGCCGAGGAUAUAAUUUCAUUGUUGGAGAGAGAGAAAAAAAAUUUCAAAUAAAAAAUAUAUAUUAUGUCAGUGAAGACAUACAUAUGUAUCAUAUAUGAAAGACAACACAUCGAUAAUAUAUAAGUACUGCAACAUGCAAGGUUAGUAUACCAUGCAUGCAAAUGGAUCAAGAGUGCGUGACAAAGACAUCGUAUUGGACAAUGGCGUCGUGAGUGUUGUUGUCAUGGGAGUGUGUCCGCGCCUGCGCGUACCCAGUAGCGUGCCGGAAGGGGCCGCUGCCGCCGACCACGGCCAUCUCCCUGACCUCGGAGAAGAUGUCGUCACGGCCCAUGACGACGACGGUGCUGUUGGUGUACUCCCCCUGCGUGAACACGAACGUCAUGGCCAUGAGGAGGCCGAAGCUGUCCUUCCCCGAGAAGGCGUAGAACCCCUGCGCCCGGCCCACCAGCUCGGUGGACAGCUCCGGCCCGACCGUGAGCGGGUCGUCGAUCAUGACGAUGGUCCCGAAGAACGUGGUCGAGUUCUUCUCCGACGGCGCCUGCGCCACCCGCACGGAGGUCGGGCUCGGCCCGCUCACGAUGUCGUGCCAGAAGAACCGGAAGUGGCUCUGCGUCUCGUAAACCGGCUUUUUGACGCGCUUCUCGCCCAACACGAAGCUGCUUUGCUCUUCGGAG